rnacentral:rRNA from 1 species
AUUGAACGCUGGCGGCAUGCUUUACACAUGCAAGUCGAACGGCAGCGCGGGCUUCGGCCUGGCGGCGAGUGGCGAACGGGUGAGUAAUACAUCGGAACGUGCCCAGUAGUGGGGGAUAGCUCGGCGAAAGCCGGAUUAAUACCGCAUACGACCUGAGGGUGAAAGCGGGGGAUCUUCGGACCUCGCGCUAUUGGAGCGGCCGAUGGCAGAUUAGCUAGUUGGUGGGGUAAAGGCCUACCAAGGCGACGAUCUGUAGCUGGUCUGGGAGGACGACCAGCCACACUGGGACUGGGACACGGCCCAGACUCCUACGGGAGGCAGCAGUGGGGAAUUUUGGACAAUGGGCGAAAGCCUGAUCCAGCAAUGCCGCGUGUGUGAUGAAGGCCUUCGGGUUGUAAAGCACUUUUGGCGGGAACGAAAAGGACUGUGCCAAUACCACGGUUCGAUGACGGUACCCGCAGAAUAAGCACCGGCUAACUACGUG